AUUUAAUGUGCAUGAGACAAACAGCGCACAACACUCAUCAAAUACAGCAGAUUCCCGGAGAGAACGGUCAUGUGAGGGUUAACUGUACAUCUGCUGUGUGUGAAUAACUCCAUGAAUCGUGGUUUUAAAUCAAAGGCAUUUAUUGCUAAAAUGUACUUGACAAACAAACGAAACAAACCACAUUAUCAUCAUAAUCAGUAUAAGACAAUGUGUAAAUGAAAACAAUGUCAAAUUCCAGAGAACAAGUGCUUGAGGAAAUAUUCCCCAACAUCUCCACUCUAGCACCAAUAGCAUAUAAAUAUGUCAUCAUAUAGAGCUUCUUCAUUCAAUGCAGUCAAUGUACGAUCAGUUCAUGCUGAAACACGUUCACGUGGAUCAUUCUGCCAUUAUUUAUGAUGUUAUUUUUAGCACAAAAACAAGAUUUGCACGCCAGAAAUCCUCCUUUUUGUGUACGCCUGUAAAAAUAGCAUCACAACGUGAGUAAAUACUGACAGAGUGAUCAUCUGAGGGUGAAUUAUUCCUCUUUUCAGAAGCAGGAACCCAUGACCGUCCAUCAUCUCCAACAUGGAGACCAACGUGUGCUUGUCUUUUGGCGAGCAAAAUGGCACUUGUGCCGAAACUCCAAGUGAGAAAAAACGGCACCAUGAUCAAAUCCAUAAUGAUUUGAUAAAAGAGCACGACAUACAGACUGAGAUUAAAAACACUGUAGGAAUCCAUCCAAAGAAAUAGAAACGAAGCCAGGAGUCACUGGUGGAUGAAUCAUCUUGUGCUUAUGAAGAACCAGCAUCCAAGAACAUUGACUUCAGUGCUGAAUCCUGUGGAAACAGUCCAUGUGCUCAUGACUCAAUCAUCCGUAACCUCCACGGAUCCAGAAAUGUGUCUCGCUGUCCAUCGUCAGGCCUUCAGAUGCUUCUUUUGUGCUUCAGCCUGCAGUGUAACGGGCCGUUUCUGCCACUCAAUAAAAAAUAUAAAAUGGAUUUUGAGACUUUUUAUUUAAUAUUUUUUCCCUUGCAAUUGCAUGAAAAAGUCAGCAUUGUGAGAAAAAAGUCAGAAUUGUGGGAAUAUCGCAAUUGUGAACAAAAAGUCAGAAUUGUGGGAAUAUCGCAAUUGUGAACAAAAAGUCAAAAUUGUGGGAAUAUCGCAAUUGUGAGCAAAAAGUCAGAAUUGUGGGAAUAUCGUAAUUGUGAGCAAAAAUCAGAAUUGUGAGAUUCAAGCUUGAAAUUGCGUGAAAAAGUCAGAAUUGUGGGAAAAUCAGAAUUGUGAGAUAUAAAUUCAAAAUUGUGAGAAAAAAGUCAGAACUGUGGGCAAUCGGAAUUCCGAGAUAUAAACUCGCACUUUUGAGAAAAUUAGUCAGAAUUGUGAGAUAUAAACUUGCAAUUGUGAAAAAAAAAGAUGUCAGAAUUUUGAGAAAAAAAUGUCAGAAUUGUGAGAAAAAGUCAGAAUUGCGAGAAAAAAACUCGCAAUUGUGAGGAAAAAAGUCCAAAUUGUGGGGAAAUCAGAACUGUGAGAUAUAAACCCCCAUUUUUGAGAAAAAUUGUCAGAAUCGCAAGAUAAAGUGUCGCAAUUAGCUUUUUUAUAUUUUUUAUUCAGUGGUGGAAAUGGGCUUCUAUAGUUCCCACAGGACACGUGCAUGUGUUAAAAACAGCUGCACGCUUGAAUGUUUAUAUUCCUGACGGUGUCCUGCGGCGGAAUGCAAUGCAACGGCGUCAGUCUAGAGCGUUUGCACAUUGACUAACAAUUCACAACAGUGCAAACAGAACGAGAACACGUCCUGUGAGCCGUCGUCUCUGGACUGAUUUUACUCACAAGAACACGCCAGCAGACAUGCAACAGGAGAGACGGCGUAUUUAAUUUGACACCAAUGAAAAAUUUCACUUAAAACUAGAUUUAGAAAAUGAUGUUAGCAGAGAAAGCCUCUGAGAGUUUGAAGCAGUUGUAAAAUUCUAAUGAAUUCACAUCUUCAUCACUUCCUGUUUUCUACAUGAUUUUCUUUCUUUUUUUUUUUUUUAAAUGGCAUUUUAAUGUUUUGUUGAAGAGCAACCACAGAAAAGAGCAGCUCCUCUAAUGUAGAGCAGCGGCCGACGGAGAUCAGUCCUCAUGAUGGACUUUCAGAUGAUGCUCAGCAGCCAGAAACAAUCUCUACACAAGAACAGGAACAAACGCAAGCUUUGAAAAGUCUCAGAAUGCAUUCCAGUUACACCAGGGAUAUUACCAUUCACUAAUUAUUUGUUCUAUUAUUCAAGUUUUGAAUCAGCAUUUAUUUUUUAUAUUUCAGUUUUCAUUUUCCGUUUAGUUAGUUAUUUGCAUUUGUAAUUUUUAUUAGAUUUUGUUCUUUUUAAAUAAAGCUAUUUAGGUUUAUUUAUUUAUUUAUUUAUUUUUUUUUUUUUAUUUAUUUCCAAUAAUUUUAGUGCUUCAGCUGCAAACAUAUUUCAGUUAGCUGCCAAUGCAACAUAUCUAAAAUUUCUAAUAUUUAUAUUUGACUUUAGUUUAGCUUUAAAGUCACCAUGAAAUCAAAAUCGAUAAUUAAAAAAUAACAAAAUAAUAAAAAAAUGGGAGGGGGAGUACUGCACUGUUUAUUAUAAAUUAUCUGUAGACAUUAUUAAUAUUUUACAAAUUUACAAUGAUCCAAUCAAUUCCCAACAAACCCAAUUAAACCCCGCCCUACUUUUUUUUUCCUGUUCAAAAAACCAUUUCACUCAGAUUGGAGAAAAAAAGAAAAGACAUUUGCAACUUCCAUUUCAAGCCGACUUUACCAAAUAUGUUUUUAAUAUUUUUGAUUGAGUUAACGAUAAUAACCCUGGUGUGAAACGUCGUCUUCUGCGGUCAGUUUUCUCUUUCAGAUCAUAAAAGAGCACCAGUUCUGAGUGAGUUAUAGUUCAAGUGUUAAUAAUGGCUCAGGAACAGAAGAGCACAUGUUGGGCAGGACCACACGCCUGAAACACGUGUAAAGUCUGUUUCUGGCACACUGAGCACAUGAAAAACUCAUGAAUCAAAGUGAAAACAGUUGAUAAAACUGGAGUGUCUGUGGAGCUCGACACCAGCAGAUACAAAGAUCAAACCUCCAGAGCGACACUCAGUAAACAAGACACAAGUAAUGUCCGGAGACCAGCAUGCACAUCCCAUGAUUCUCCAGGAAAGACAGAACCGGCAGAGAAACCAAUAAAACAAGUUUUCACAAAGAGUUUCACUGUACCCUCACUGUAAACAUACUUUCAUUAUAAACCUCAGCGUGAGCCAAUCUCAGCAAAACGUGUCCGGGUCAUAUUUCAGUCCAAAACUAAAAGAAAGAAAAAUUAAACAUACUACUAAUCAAAAGUAUAAAUAAGAUUUUUAAUGUCUCUUCUGCUCACCAAGGCUGCAUUUAUUUGAUCAAGAAUACUGUAAAAAUGGUAAUACUGUGACUUAUUACAAUUUAAAAAUAUUUUAAAAUCUAAUUUAUUUCUGUGAUGUACAGCUGUAUUUUCAGCAUUAAUACUCCAGUCUUCAGUGUCACAUGAUCUUCAGAAAUCAUACUUUUAAAAAUGUAUUUUUAAAUAUAGUUUUGGUGAGCAUUUUAUAUAUAUAUAGGUAGAUAUACACUGAACAAAAUUAUAAACGCAACACUUGUUUUUGCCUCCAUUUUUCAUGAGCUGAACUCAAAGAUCUAAGACUUUUUCUAUGUACACAAAAGACCUAUUUCUCUCAAAUAUUGUUCAUAAAUCUGUCUAAAUGUGUGUUAGUGAGCACUUCUCCAGAUUUAUGAACAAUAUUUGAGAGAAAUAGGCC
ensembl:lncRNA